rnacentral:rRNA from 14 species
GCUUACGGCCACACCGCCUGGUUCACGCCCGAUCUCGUUUGAUCUCGGAAGCUAAGAUAGGUUGGACCGCCUGGGAAUACCAGGUGCUGUAAGCU